AAUUGGCAAUCUAACGCUAGGAAGACCUUGCCUUGUCAUUAUGUGAACCCACUGAAGCAAGAGUGACCUUCCAUUAUCUAGAGUGGUGCCUUCAAAGUACUGCAUGUACUAUGUGUGAUCAAUAGUGUUUAUAUCUAGUGUGGUUUCUUCUGGCUGGCUUGCCCUGGAGGUAUCGCACAUAAGGACUGAAAACAAUAGACUACCAGCAGAAACUAAAGGUCUAACGAACUCUGUUCUAACGGCCAACUUCUGGCACUGGAAGUACAUGAGCUUUCCAGCUGACUGCAAAGGCAGUAGCACAUACAUGUUUAAAGGAAGAAUUUGGACUUAAAGGGAUCCCAACAGCAUGUGAUCUAGUCAACUUUAAAUGACCAGGAAUCAUACAGUUGCUUCAUCUGCCCUUGGGUCCCUCUGUCCGUUUUUAUGGUUCAGCAAUCACAGUUUAAUAUUGCUUCAGAAACGUUUUUCUCUCCCCUUUCUGUGUGCGCAAGUUCCACACAAACAAAUGGGAAACUGUCCCUGCAGCUACUUGCACGUGUGCUUCACAGGGGCCGCCCCACUGUAGUCAGCUGAUGGGCCAGAUUCUCUUAAGAAGCAGGAGCAGCGCCCGUGUACACCAGUGUGAAUGCAGCUUCGGUGGAAGGAGGAGCAGCCUGGGUAAAUGUGAGCAAUGUGAAGGGCUCGUGUUGAUGUUUGCAGGACCGGGGGCCUAGCUGACUCCAGAGGGAGAGAGUGAAAUUGACUCUACACCAAGUGCUGUCAAAUGCACAAGGGUAAUGGAUAAAUGCUAGAGGUGGUUAACAAUGAGGAUAAAAACAAAUGUCAAAAUACUGAAUUUCCCAGAGGAAGAAACUGUGUUUUCUGAACAGCUCUAAAGAGCAGCAGGAAGCUGGUGAGAAGAGACAACCAGAGUGAAGCUGGAGUAAGAGACUUCAGCAGAAGCCAGCUGCUUCGCCAGCCAGGGAAUGGCUGCUACAAGUGAGCAGUCUGCAGCAGAGAACAUAUUGCUGCUCCAUGAUCUUCUGAGAGAAUCUCGUUUACUUCAAAAUACUGCUCCAGCCUCCCGAUACAUGUGGACCAGUCCUCCAUGGCACUGUCGAAGGCUUCCAUUUUUCCAGCAGAUCCUGCCAUUUCACCCAGCUGCUGUCAGUUCAGUAGUUCGGAGCACCCACAGUUGUAACAGACUCCUCUCUCCCCCUCGGGGCUGCAAGCAUUGUCAUUGAUUGUUUUGCUACUCUGAUUCAUGGAAGGCUCUUGAAAUCCUUGUUGCCAAUCAUUGCAUGUGGUAGAGUUAGCACAAAUCCCUGAUUAGAAACACACCUGGAGCUGGAGUCAUGAUGUCUUGCUCACUCUUGUACUGCAGAAGAAGA